rnacentral:tRNA from 1 species
GCCUCUCGUGGUGUAGUUGGUUAUCACGUGAGUCUCAUAUUCAUGUCCUAUUCAUAUAUGAUAGGUAGCAAAAACUACUUAGCGAUCUCAAGGUCGCCAGUUCGAUCCUGGCCGGGGGCA